AAAAGCAAAUAUUUUUUCAAAAUUACGUGAGGAUACUUGUGAUUUAAAAAUUUAUAUAAGCCACCUAAAUUUCUUUAGCCCCUUUGCCAAUAUUUUCAUGAAAUCUUUUCUCCUAAUAAUUUCUUUGCUCCUUAAUCAGUGCUUUACUACAUUACUCAGCAGCAUUUUUUUAAAUUCUUUCUUCAUCUGAUGACACAGAAAUAACUCCCUAUCUCUGCUAUUCUGGUUCUCUUCUGUCUGUUGAGAACGUUCUUCAACUGUCUGUACAAUAUGGAGAACACACUUCUAAACCUGGUACUUAGGAUCACGCUAGAUAUGUUUGCUACCUAAUUAGAAGUUAGUUUGGGAGGGGCAGUCUGUCUUUUUACGUGAUUUUGAGCCAAAUGCAGACGUUCUGAUACAUUUCAGAAUACUUUUCUGACUGUAAAUACAGCCUGUGGAGGUUCAGGUUAACCAGCCUUUUCUGUGACUGUUCUGCAGCCUUGCUCCUCGUCGCUCUUGGCACCUUGUAUAUAGAUUUGUUGAAUGUCUCAAUGAUGUUGUUUUUCUAAAUGCUGUUCUCUAAGACAAUUUUUUGAAUGUUUUUUGCUUUCCAUUGUUUUGGACGCUGUGUGUUAGUUUUACAAAAUGUUUCCUAAAUAUUUAACACCAGGAAAAAAUAUUUUAAAAUAAACUGGUGCUAAUUGGAACAGAAGGAAAUUUUCAGCUUUGAAGAUUUACCAGAGAAAAUGUUCACACCAGUUAAACUGCACUUUCCCAAGGAGACAGCUGGCAUCUACUUGAAAUGGCCAUCAGGAAGACCACCGAGUGUUUACAGUGUCUGUGGCCCAUGUGAGUGUAAAAUCCAGAAGAGGCUCUGUCCCCCGCCCCCAAGCGGAGGGGUUGCUACAUUGGUCCUCCAGAAGCAUUUAGGUAGAAGGAAACGCUUAGAAUAAGAAUCACUUUAGUAAUAGUCUUCUGGUCUUUGGACUUUCAUGUUCUGUAAUGCUUAGCUGUAACAAUGAAUAUGGUGUUGCCAAUCUAGUCUGACAUCAUCGUUGACCUGUAUUUACAUUGUGUAUGGUUCUACCUUGGGUUGUACUGGCACGAAUCAAGCCAGAACACAGGACUUUCAAUAAGACCAUUCUGACUUCUACGGUGUCCACACACAUGAAUUUAAAUGCACUUGUACCUGGUUAAUUACCAUGAAGUAAGUCUAACUUCCACAAUAAAAGUUUUUGUGUAUCUGCUUCUA
rnacentral:lncRNA from 1 species